UAAGCAUAUCAAUAAGCGGAGGAAAAGAAACCAACAGGGAUUGGCCCCAGUAACGGCGAGUGAAGCGGCAACAGCUCAAAUUUGAAAUCUGGCCCUCGCGGUCCGAGUUGUAAUUUGUAGAGGAUGCUUUUGGUGCGGUGCCUUCCGAGUUCCCUGGAACGGGACGCCAUAGAGGGUGAGAGCCCCGUCUGGUUGGAUGCCAAACCUCUGUAAAGCUCCUUCGACGAGUCGAGUAGUUUGGGAAUGCUGCUCAAAAUGGGAGGUAUAUGUCUUCUAAAGCUAAAUACCGGCCAGAGACCGAUAGCGCACAAGUAGAGUGAUCGAAAGAUGAAAAGCACUUUGAAAAGAGGGUUAAAUAGUACGUGAAAUUGUUGAAAGGGAAGCGUUUGUGACCAGACUUGGGCUCGGUGAAUCAUCCGGCGUUCUCGCCGGUGCACUUCGCCGGUCCAGGCCAGCAUCGGUUCGCUCGCGGGGGAUAAAGGCGUCGGGAAUGUGGCUCCUCGGAGUGUUAUAGCCCUUCGCACAAUACCCUGCGGUGGACCGAGGUUCGCGCAUCUGCAAGGAUGCUGGCGUAAUGGUCAUCAACGACCCGUCUUGAAACACGGACCAAGGAGUCGUCUUCGUAUGCGAGUGUUCGGGUGUCAAACCCCUACGCGUAAUGAAAGUGAACGGAGGUGAGAGCUACGGCGCAUCAUCGACCGAUCCUGAUGUUCUCGGAUGGAUUUGAGUAAGAGCAUACGGGGCCGGACCCGAAAGAAGGUGAACUAUGCCUGUAUAGGGUGAAGCCAGAGGAAACUCUGGUGGAGGCUCGCAGCGGUUCUGACGUGCAAAUCGAUCGUCAAAUAUGGGCAUGGGGGCGAAAGACUAAUCGAACCUUCUAGUAGCUGGUUUCCGCCAAU
rnacentral:rRNA from 1 species